rnacentral:rRNA from 1 species
GAGUUUGAUCAUGGCUCAGGAUGAGCGCUAGCGGCAGGCUUAACACAUGCAAGUCGAGGGGUAUAGUUCUUCGGAAUUAGAGACCGGCGCACGGGUGCGUAACGCGUAUGCAAUCUACCUUUCACAGAGGGAUAGCCCAGAGAAAUUUGGAUUAAUACCUCAUAGUAUAACGACUCUGCAUGGAGAUGUUAUUAAAGUCACAACGGUGAAAGAUGAGCAUGCGUCCCAUUAGCUAGUUGGUAAGGUAACGGCUUACCAAGGCUACGAUGGGUAGGGGUCCUGAGAGGGAGAUCCCCCACACUGGUACUGAGACACGGACCAGACUCCUACGGGAGGCAGCAGUGAGGAAUAUUGGACAAUGGGCGCAAGCCUGAUCCAGCCAUGCCGCGUGCAGGAUGACGGUCCUAUGGAUUGUAAACUGCUUUUGCACAGGAAGAAACAACGCUACGUGUAGCGUCUUGACGGUACUGUGAGAAUAAGGAUCGGCUAACUCCGUGCCAGCAGCCGCGGUAAUACGGAGGAUCCAAGCGUUAUCCGGAAUCAUUGGGUUUAAAGGGUCCGUAGGCGGUUUAGUAAGUCAGUGGUGAAAGCCCAUCGCUCAACGGUGGAACGGCCAUUGAUACUGCUAGACUUGAAUUA